UAAUAAGUGUUUUAUGGCACUUUUUAAAUCCAUAUCCACCUUGUGUGCAAUGUCAGUCGAGUCUUCUUUCAGUCGAGAAAAGGAUCGACCAAACAUCAACCUUAUUCUAAUUGAACUCUUUGUCUGAAAAAUAUUAUGAAUAAACUAAUUCAAAAUA
rnacentral:misc_RNA from 1 species